AUUGAACGCUGGCGGCAUGCCUUACACAUGCAAGUCGAACGGUAACGCGGGGCAACCUGGCGACGAGUGGCGAACGGGUGAGUAAUGCAUCGGAACGUGCCCAGUAGUGGGGGAUAGCCCGGCGAAAGCCGGAUUAAUACCGCACACGACCUACGGGUGAAAGCGGGGGACCGUAAGGCCUCGCGCUAUUGGAGCGGCCGAUGUCAGAUUAGGUUGUUGGUGGGGUAAAAGCCUACCAAGCCGACGAUCUGUAGCUGGUCUGAGAGGACGACCAGCCACACUGGGACUGAGACACGGCCCAGACUCCUACGGGAGGCAGCAGUGGGGAAUUUUGGACAAUGGGGGCAACCCUGAUCCAGCCAUGCCGCGUGCGGGAAGAAGGCCUUCGGGUUGUAAACCGCUUUUGUCAGGGAAGAAACGCUCUGGGCUAAUACCCCGGGGUAAUGACGGUACCUGAAGAAUAAGCACCGGCUAACUACGUGCCAGCCGCCGCCGUAACAC
rnacentral:rRNA from 1 species